GAUGAAGAACGUAGCGAAAUGCGAUACUUGGUGUGAAUUGCAGAAUCCCGUGAACCAUCGAGUCUUUGAACGCAAGUUGCGCCCGAAGCCAUUAGGCCGAGGGCACGCUUGCCUGGGCGUCACACGUCGUUGCCCCCCCAUCUACUCCUUCGGGAUUGCGGGGGCGGAUGAUGGCCUCCCGUGCGCCUCGCCGCGCGGUUGGCAUAAAUGCCAAGUCCUCGGCGACGCACGCCACGACAAUCGGUGGUUGCGAAACCUCGGUUGCCCGUCGUGUGCGGUCGUCGCGCAUCGAGGGCUCGAAAAAAUUGCCGGGUUCCGGCUCGGCUUUCAACGCGACCCCAGGUCAGGCGGGGUUACCCGCUGAAUUUAAGCAUAUCAAUAAGCGGAGGA
rnacentral:misc_RNA from 1 species